UUGCUGUCUUGCUUGAUCCUUCUUUGUGAUUCGUUUGUGUUUUAGCUUUUAUUUUCGGAACUUUAUUAACUACAAACUUGGCUAUUCAAACGGACUCUGAUUGAUUGCAAUAACGACAUACUCAGCCUGGGAUUUACUGUUUUUGUGUGGCUCGGCCAAGGCUCGGCUGGUGGUUCUAUGGUGUUAGAAAAUGAGCAACUUAAUUAUACACAACAAUGGGCAGCACCUCGAUCGGUUACAGCUCAUGAUCUUAUAUGCACAACAUGUUGGACCCAAGCCCAAGAUACAACACAAAUGCAUCUACUUCAAAUCUUAGCAGAAAAUGUGUGCUUUGCAGUAGAACACUAGAGCCUAGAACACGUUCACAUCAGCUCAUGUCCCUGAGAACUAACACUCAACAUCAUAUUAACAUCAGGAACAUAAUUGUGGAACGACUAACUCCAUUAGAGGUUACUGCAAAUGACUACAUCUGUGGGGCUUGUCACUCAUUAUUGCAAAGAGAUACCACACCUACUUCACAAGACUCUCCAGAUAUGCCAACCGGUGCCCCGGUAGGUCACCAACAAGUUUGUGUUGGAUGUGGUUGUUCAUUAUUGCGAACUUGAAGUCAUUGUUUGGAUACAGAGAAUAAUCAAGAUAUAUUAAACAUUGUUCGAAAUUGGAUUCAACCCAGAGAGAUUCGUCCUUCAGAUCUUCUUUGCCAUAGAUACUAUCAGAGAGCACGAAUUACUACAGUUGGUGCUUAUUUAAUGAAGCUGAGGACCGGUGAUUCAGAUGACAGAAUAGCUACAUUACUUGGCAUUUCAAGGAGUACUCUUACAAAAUAUGUAAUGAAAGCACGCAGUAUGAUGGAGGAACAUUUCGUACCAGCACAUUUAGGGUUACAACAUAUUAGUAGAGAGGAAGUAGCCCAAAGAAACCUUUAUGUUCCAGUCUCUUUUCGGGAAGCCAGGAACGAUUUACCACAAAGAAAGGCUAUUGUCAUCAUGGAUGGUACAUACAUACAUUUAUGUGCAAAAAAGUAGCAAUUAUGCAUACCAAAAAAAAAAACUUAUUCCCUAUACAAAUAUCGGAAUCUCGUUAAACCAUUUAUGGUACUUUGUUGUGAUGGCGACAUCAUUGAUGUAUUGGGCCCAUAUUUAAUAGAAAAUGUAGAA